rnacentral:lncRNA from 1 species
GGGCGGGGCGGGGACGGGGGUAGCCGGCGGGAAGCCCGGGCAGGAGGGCACGUCCGGGCCCGUGUGCGCCCAAGUCCAAGGGCACCAGUCCUCCGCGGGCCCGGGCCCGGGGUGGAGAGUGUGGGCCGAGCCCAAGACGCGCGAGGGGCAGCGAGUCUGAUUCAGGAAGUCGAGCCUCUGACAUCAGGGACAGGACGACGGAGUGGAGUGAAACCUCAAAAAUGCGAAGCGUCCGCCCGCGGGAGGGCAGGGGACACAGAGGGCGCCUUUCUCGCCACCGGCGGCAGGUACGCGCGGAGCAGGGCAGCCGCCGCUGAUCCGCCCCUCCGGGCCAGGACCGCGCGGGACCCGCAGGGGCUUCCGAGGAGACACCCGGGACCUCGGCCGCCUUCGCUGGGGCAGCACCCGGCGGAUCCCCAGGCGACCGCGCCUGCAGGAAGCCCUCCAGUGGGACUCAAAGGGUCAAGUGGUGCUACUUUUAUGAACACUGCCCUACUGUUCUCCAGAAGCUCCAUGACCUUCUCUCUCUGGCCAAACCCAGAGUGGGCCCCGAUUCACAUAUGCUCCCCACAGAGACCAGCACGACCCCAGCACAGGAAAGCUUGUCAGUGCUAUCUGUGGCCUGCCCAAACCCAGAGCUGGAAGAGGGCUAAGUUCCAAGUGGGCAAGCCUGCAUCCUCUCGUGUCCUGCCCUUGCGGGUGGGCUAA